UAAAUCUCAAGAGUGCUUGUGUCCUGUGA
rnacentral:piRNA from 1 species